rnacentral:rRNA from 1 species
CAGUAGCGUAUAUUAAUGUUGUUGCAGUUAAAAGCUCGUAGUUGGAUUUCUAGCCGACAUGCGUGGUCCGUUGUACUUAGUAUGAUGAGUACCGCAGCGUGUCGUCUAUCCUAUCAGUUUGCUUGGGCUCCGGCCCGACUGACUGGUUCUUUUACUUUGAAAAAUUAGAGUGUUUAAAGCAGGCUUGCGCAAUUGAAUACAUUAGCAUGGAAUAAUAACAUAGGACUUCGGUCUCUAUUUUGUUGGUUUCUGGAACUGAAGUAAUGAUUGAUAGGGAUAGUUGGGGGUGCUAGUAUUGAGCGGCCAGAGGUGAAAUUCUCGGAUUCGCUCAAGACUAACUUAUGCGAAAGCAUUCACCAAGGAUGUCUUCUUUAAUCAAGAACGAAAGUUGGGGGAUCGAAGAUGAUCAGAUACCAU